GUAGUCCACGCCCUAAACGAUGGGUGCUAAAUGUCGGAACUUUAGUUUCGGUAUUGUAGCUAACGCGUUAAGCACCCCGCCUGGGGAGUACGGUCGCAAGAUUAAAACUCAAAGGAAUUGACGGGGACCCGCACAAGCGGUGGAGCAUGUGGUUUAAUUCGAGGCUACGCGAAAAACCUUACCAGCUCUUGACAUCCUGAUCGCCGCGUUUGUAAUGAACGCUUCAGUUCGGCUGGAUCAGAGACAGGUGCUGCAUGGCUGUCGUCAGCUCGUGUCGUGAGAUGUUGGGUUAAGUCCCGCAACGAGCGCAACCCUCAUCCUUAGUUACCAUCGGGUUAAGCCGGGGACUCUAGGGAAACUGCCAGUGACAAGCUGGA
rnacentral:rRNA from 1 species